rnacentral:misc_RNA from 1 species
UAGUUCGAUCACAGAGGAUGAUAAUUGCGUCGGUGAAGCUUCACGCCAUUUUGAUACUGUGGCUGACCCCUGCGCUAGCAGUGGCUGCUUCUCUAGCAAACCCUACAUGUCAGGACACUUGCGGUGGCGUUGUAAUUACCUUCCCAUUUGGGAUUGGGAAAGGUUGUUACAUGAGUGAGAGUUUUGAGGUAACUUGCAACUAUUCUUUCACACCUCCAAAGCCUUUCUUAGCUAGCAUCAACAUGGAAUUGCUGGCCGUGUUGACAACAAGCCAAGUUCAAAUCAACAAUCCUGUAAUUUCUUCCAAUUGCAGCGACAAAACCUCUAAUAUUAGAGGGGUCUCCCUGUCAGACAGCCCUUUCGUCUUUUCAGAUGCUUCUAACAGAUUCACGGCCAUGGGUUGCGACAAUUAUGCAAUGCUUCUCCAGGGUCUUGGUAACACUGUUGGUGGGUGCCUGUCAAUUUGUCUUAGUGGAUCUAAUACAACUACAAGUGGCUGCUAUGGCCUCAAUUGCUGCCAAUCUGAAAUUCCUCCUUAUGUCCAGUCAUUUGAAGCAAACAUGACAAACCCCUUCGGCGAUACAGAGGAUCGCGGCGGAUGCAAAUCGGCCUUCAUGGUUGACCAAGAUUGGUUUAAGUCUCAGUCAUCAACAUCAAAAAGCCUUGAUGAUCUGAAGCAGAUGGAUCGUGUCCCUGCGGUGCUUAAUUGGGCAGUGGAUCAAGGGUAUUGUGAUAUAAGUAAAGCCUCUAACAUCUCCUGUACCCCUGACGGUAUUUAUUGUUGGAAAGAAUUCAACAGAAGUCAAGUCUGUAUUUGCAGUGGAUGUCAAGAUAUGAGCAGAUGCACAAAUCCAAGUAACUAUUUCGACUGCCGACUGCAUUGCAUGUACGGCCCAAGAGGGUACAUAUACAGUUGCAAGUGUCCUCCUGGACAUUCCCAAAGUUACGGUAGAUGCUACCCAGAUGACUUUUUUGAAGGAAAAUCUCGGGCCAAGAAGAUUAUCACGAUAGCUUGUGGUUCAGGUCUUGGAUUGUUGUUAUUAAUUAUUGGGAUUUGGACAUUGUACAAAAUAAUAAAGAGAAGACGAGCCAUGAAGCUUAAACAAAAAUUUUUCCAAAGAAAUGGUGGAUUGUUACUACAACAACAACUAUCUUCUAGUGAAAGUCAUGUUGAACAAACGAGACUAUUCACUUCCAAGGAGUUGGAGAAAGCAACCGACCAUUAUCAUGUGAAUCGAAUCGUUGGCCAAGGAGGUCAAGGAACAGUUUACAAAGGAAUGUUGACAGAUGGAAGAGUUGUAGCUAUUAAGAAAUCUAAAGUAGUUGAUGAAGACAAGCUCGACCAAUUUAUCAACGAGGUGGUAAUUUUAUCACAAAUCAAUCAUAGAAAUGUGGUUAAACUACUUGGAUGUUGCCUGGAGACUGAAGUUCCUCUGCUAGUAUAUGAAUUCAUCCCUAAUGGAACUCUUUUUCAACAUAUACAAGAACAAAGUGAAGAGUUCCCAAUUACAUGGGAAGUACGUUUGCGGAUCGCCACAGAAGUUGCAAGUGCUCUAUCCUAUUUGCAUUCUGCAGCUUCCAUACCCAUUUUUCAUCGAGACAUCAAGUCUUCAAAUAUACUUUUAGAUGAGAAAUAUAGAGCAAAAGUGGCAGAUUUUGGCACCUCAAAAUCAAUUUCAAUUGAUCAAACGCAUGUGACCACACGAGUUCAAGGAACAUUUGGAUAUUUAGAUCCUGAAUAUUUCCAGUCAAGUCAAUUUACAGAUAAAAGUGAUGUU